GCCACUUUAGCUCAGCUGGUAGAGCAACUGAUUUGUAAUCAGUAGGUCGUUGGUUCGAUUCCGACAAGUGGCUCCC
rnacentral:tRNA from 1 species